UUAGCUCAAAUUUGUAUGGAGUUAGAACGUUUGUCUACGUUUACCGAUAGGAGCGCUGUUCCAGCUGCAUAAAAAAUUGAGUUA
rnacentral:pre_miRNA from 1 species